CUCAGCUCAAUAUACGCGGUUUCUCAAUUUGAUUGGUGAGACCCGAUUAUAGGCCAAUUAAACCGAUCGGCUAUUGCCCACGACAUAUACAAAAACACUUCACUGGCCGAUUUCCAAGGACCACAAAGAUAUAAAGGUUACGAUGUCAUAUCGGUUCAAAAACUCUUGCUAGAAGUUGAAUCUAAAGAGUGAUUAUGCUUGAAUGAAUGUACUUUAAAAAAACCGCCACUUAACCAGAUGGUUGGGAUUGAACUUUAGUCUGUGGCGGGUUGUGCGGUGGUGAAAAUCAGCAGCAGGUAUCAAUCCGAAGAACUCAUCAGAGCAUUACCCAUGAUAAAUUCGGUAAAAGAUGCACAAAGAUGCAACAUCUCUACGCAGUUUCAGUGGGUCGAGUCAGAUAGCAAGGCACCGACUUCGAAUGCGGUCCAAUGGAAGGAGCUGAUACUUUACCAAUAAUAUAAUGACAUAACCGCAAAACUGUACGUCGCUGGACAUAUCAACGCUAAGUAUCCCUAGACUUAACUUAUUAUCAAGGGGAGUGCUCCUGAAAAUGAAGAGAUACCUACAACAAACAGCGUAAAUUUUUAGUUUCAAACGUGACAUCACAUGAGGAACACGAUUAACGGUACAACAAAGUUUCCUAAAAUCUGUAUGACAUUGUUUAUGUCAAGAUACUGAAACACUUCGGCAAAUAAAUCUGAAAUUUUAUUUGCAAAUAUCAGACAAGUAUAAAAAAAUAUGAUGGUAUUCGAAGAAAAGAUAUGUGGAUAAGAAUGAUCAAUUGAAGCAGCAUUUUUGUACUAAUAUGGCCAAUUUAGGUAACCUAAAAACAAAUUUACCUAGCCGAUAAAAAAUGAUUACAAGAAGCAAUCACAGUAUAGAACAAAUGUACUUUAAUAUUUUUUAUACAGUUCCAUUAAAAUGGUUACGUAUAUUAAUUACAAAUCAAUGUGACUGUAUUUAAUACAACUAUAAUAAUAGAGCCACAUUAUUAUAAUAAAAAAUGUAAAGUAGAAAAUCAUCUUUCACAGUUCCACAAUUCGAAUACCAAGAUGGUUGAAAAAAAAAGUAUAGAUUUAUUAAUGGAUGAAUAUGAUAUAGUAAGGCUAAGAAACAAGCGUAGAAAUCAUGUAGGUAAUAGUAAACAAUUACACGAAGAAAUUUUAUUAACUGCCUUUAAAAGAACUCUCGCUGUAAUCCCUAAGGAAAAUCCACACUUGGUUGUGGAAUGAGAUUCCAUAAGGCAUAAAGAAACUUUUCCAAAAUGUAAAUUCUCAGAUGUGGCUUAUUCCCUAGUGAUGGCGAGCAUAGCAUUGAUAGAUAAUGGCUAUUAUCAUCAUGACCAAUUAUUUAUGUAGUAGACCACAGAAAGGAAGCCUCUUAAAAAAGACUCUCAGUCUCAAGAUUUUAAUACCGGUUAUGUAACCUGGAUUGUCAAUAGGUACAAACUCUGAAAUGUUGGAUCUUAGGUGACAUCUACUCGGAUAUUUCUACCCAAAAAGUUGGUUCCAAACUAUUUAUCAAAAAUUGUUUUAGCGAAUAACUAGACUAGUUGUAGAUACCUUGUUCUGAAUAAGUAAUACAAAUAACCUAUGUUGACAUACACGUAACCAUAACCAACUUAAUAACGAGGCAGAAAGCGGUCGUUCAGGCGCAAGUUUCGCGCCCUGCGCCCAACUUUAGACGCCAAACAACACGCUACUCACCCGAGAAAGAAAUGAAAAGGAGAGAUAGUGUUAAGACACUUAAGUGGGACAGAGACAACAAAACGGUCGCGGAAUGCGGCGCACUUAAUUUUUGUAACGGACUGCGGGUCGAAAAGCGCGCGUCGCAGCCGAGAGGGCCAAUGUAGUACGGGCCAGGGGCAAGAGCGGGGGGGAAGUCGGCUGUAGUACGACGGCCCGCGCUUCUCGUAAAGGAAGCGACCCUGGCGCGGUCAUUGCUCGCCGCGGCCGCAUUCCUCUCCCCCGCCCCUCCGCAAACCUCCGCGGCGCCUGCGCAUCAAUGAACGGCGCGCGCGCAACUAGCACGUCCACUCACACUAUCUCAUUCCUGCGACUGUUCUUUUCAUCUCUUUCCUCGUCCAUCAUCAUGUUAUCUGUGUAACUACACUGAUAGCUCUAUUAUUGCACAUCAACACUGACCCGUCAUUUAAGGAAGCUCAUAUAAACUAUUAUUGACAAAUUACUCAUCUAUUACUGCAGUCUACCCAAUCAUUGCAAAUUCACAUAAAAAAUCAACGAAACAAUUCAAAGUUCAAUAUCGUAUUCAAGUCAAAUAUAGAGUUAUAGGAGGCAGUAAAAAUAAAAUUACAGGAUGUCAUUAUUAUUUUAGGAAUUCGUUACCUUGACUAUAUCCAUACUGAAGGUCGAUUUGAUAACGAAUAUGGAAACAUGUUGGUUGGUAGAGGCAUAUCUAAGAGGAGCCAUUUCAAUCUAAAUACUCGUAUUAGAAAAUUUUUAACAAAAAAAAUCUGCACUGAAAUUAGUUAAUACAUUUGAAAAACGUACUUGACAGAACUCUAAAAUGAAUCCCAUAUUUUACGACGCAGUAUUCCGCUAUUUUAUUACGCAAUAUAUAUACUAUUCCUUUAAUCGCAAAUAUAUUUUUUGAAAUUGGAUCACUAUUGCCACUUAUAAAAUUAAUAAUCUGCGACAAAGGGCCACUUCCUAUAAUUGGGAUUAUAUGACGAAAUUUUUUAUCUCCUAAACAUAAUUCAUCAUUUAUUUGUGAAAAUAUGUAAUUAGUCAAUUCGGAAAAUCUAUACUAAACACCACCCGGACAACACUCGUCCUUCAACCGUAUCUCAAAUAUUAUAUUAUAUAUUUAAAAUGAGGAUACUUAACAUAAUUACCUACUAUAACAAUAAGUAAAUUUCAUACUUCAUCCCAAUUCAAACUUCACAAACCAAGAAUUAACAAUUUAUAAUUUCUAUCUUCAGUUAUUCACUCAUUGAGUGUUGUGUGGUUACAUAAAGUUUUAAAAAAAAUAUAACGCUUUACACCAAAUUCAACUACAAAUAGGCUAUAAAAUAAGUUAUUUAAGAUUAGAGAGUAGUUAUUAAAAAGUAGAUCAUACUUGUAGGUAUGUGAAAUCCUUUUUUAAUAGUCAAAAUCUCAAUUUAGCGACUCUGCCUACGCAAAAAAUAAAAUAUGCUAGUAAAUACUCGUCAUUUUUUCGUUUUUGUAAGCAGUUUUUUGUAACUGCACUAAUACUAAAAAUCAACUUAAUUCAAUUGUAAUAUAUUUUUAAUUAUGUCAACAA